rnacentral:SRP_RNA from 1 species
CCCGCUUGGCGGACGGAAAAUCCGCGCACCCGGUCAGGGGAGGAAUCCAGCAGCCGGCGCGGCCCAUUCGGGUCGCCAAGCGUUUCC